rnacentral:rRNA from 1 species
CGUAUGUAACCUGCCCUCUGCAGGGGGAUAAGCGGAAGAAAUUCCGUCUAAUACCGCAUAAUACAAUUUGGAGACAUCUCCGGGUUGUCAAAGGAGUGAUCCGGCAGAGGAUGGACAUGCGGCGCAUUAGCUAGUCGGCGGGGUAACGGCCCACCGAGGCUACGAUGCGUAGGGGUUCUGAGAGGAAGGUCCCCCACACUGGUACUGAGACACGGACCAGACUCCUACGGGAGGCAGCAGUGAGGAAUAUUGGUCAAUGGGCGGAAGCCUGAACCAGCCAAGUCGCGUGAGGGAAGACGGUCCUAUGGAUUGUAAACCUCUUUUGCAGGGGAGCAAGGCGCGGUACGUGUACCGCGAAGGAGAGUACCCUGAGAAAAAGCAUCGGCUAACUCCGUGCCAGCAGCCGCGGUAAUACGGAGGAUGCGAGCGUUAUCCGGAUUUAUUGGGUUUAAAGGGUGCGCAGGCGGACUGUUAAGUCAGCGGUAAAAUGUCGGUGCUCAACACCGGCCGGCCGUUGAAACUGGCAGCCUUGAGUGAGCGAGAAGUAUGCGGAAUGCGUGGUGUAGCGGUGAAAUGCAUAGAUAUCACGCAGAACUCCGAUUGCGAAGGCAGCAUACCGGCGCUCAACUGACGCUCAGGCACGAAAGCGUGGGUAUCGAACAGGCUUAGAUACCCUGGUAGUCCACGCAGUAAACGAU